rnacentral:rRNA from 1 species
GUCUACCUACGGGACGCAGCAGUGGGGAAUAUUGCACAAUGGGGGAAACCCUGAUGCAGCGACGCCGCGUGAGUGAAGAAGUAUUUCGGUAUGUAAAGCUCUAUCAGCAGGGAAGAAAAAAGACGGUACCUGACUAAGAAGCCCCGGCUAACUACGUGCCAGCAGCCGCGGUAAUACGUAGGGGGCAAGCGUUAUCCGGAUUUACUGGGUGUAAAGGGAGCGUAGACGGUAUGGCAAGUCUGAAGUGAAAGCCCAGGGCUUAACCCUGGAACUGCUUUGGAAACUGUUAGACUAGAGUGCUGGAG